GAGUUUGAUCCUGGCUCAGGACGAACGCUGGCGGCGUGCCUAAUACAUGCAAGUCGAGCGGACAGAUGGGAGCUUGCUCCCUGAUGUUAGCGGCGGACGGGUGAGUAACACGUGGGUAACCUGCCUGUAAGACUGGGAUAACUCCGGGAAACCGGGGCUAAUACCGGAUGCUUGUUUGAACCGCAUGGUUCAAACAUAAAAGGUGGCUUCGGCUACCACUUACAGAUGGACCCGCGGCGCAUUAGCUAGUUGGUGAGGUAACGGCUCACCAAGGCAACGAUGCGUAGCCGACCUGAGAGGGUGAUCGGCCACACUGGGACUGAGACACGGCCCAGACUCCUACGGGAGGCAGCAGUAGGGAAUCUUCCGCAAUGGACGAAAGUCUGACGGAGCAACGCCGCGUGAGUGAUGAAGGUUUUCGGAUCGUAAAGCUCUGUUGUUAGGGAAGAACAAGUACCGUUCGAAUAGGGCGGUACCUUGACGGUACCUAACCAGAAAGCCACGGCUAACUACGUGCCAGCAGCCGCGGUAAUACGUAGGUGCAAGCGUUGUCCGGAAUUAUUGGGCGUAAAGGGCUCGCAGGCGGUUCCUUAAGUCUGAUGUGAAAGCCCCCGGCUCAACCGGGGAGGGUCAUUGGAAACUGGGGAACUUGAGUGCAGAAGAGGAGAGUGGAAUCCACGUGUAGCGGUAAAUGCGUAGAGAUGGGAGGAACACCAGGGCGAAGGCGA
rnacentral:rRNA from 1 species